CUUCAACAGAGCCUCCAGUUCCUCUAGAGACUGAGUCAGCUCGUCCUUCAACAGGUCACUGGGGCCGUGACCCCCGUGGGCCUCCAGAGGACUUUGGUUACCCCUCAGAGAGCAUCUUCUUGAUGCGCUCCUUUUCAGAGGACAGCGUGAUGUCUGCGCUUUGACUGCGAUACAGCUUGUCCUCAGGCCCGUUCACACACAUGACUGGAGGGGACUGGAGGUCAUCGGAGAGGUCCUGAAGAAAAAAUUAGUCUGAGGUGACGCCGCGAGGGCCGAAAAGGAAGCUGUUGGGAUAAUUUUACCAUCGUCCAACAUUCUUCACUGUCGCUCCCCUCUGAGAUAAGUGACCCACUUCAUCUUUUUUCCCUUUACUUCCUCUUGCUUCAUUUCUUCCUCCUUCCAUUCUGUCACAGCGGUCCCAUCUAAUAACUGGCCACACACACGUGUGUGUGUGUGCAGCUAUUCUUGGUAACAUCUUAUGAACUCAACUGGAUUUAUUUUUAUUGUGCUUUCACAACAGCCACAGCCCUACUAAAUCGCGGUACAGAAAGGAUCAAAUAAUCAAUAUUGUACAGUCUCAGCAAACAAAAUUGUUUCUAUUCAAAAUAGCGACCUUCAAAAUGGCACUUUGCAUAUAGAAUUGAUUUAUGAACGACGGUAUAUUUCAUCUUUAACGGCUUUGCACUCACCUGCGG